UGGGGAAUAUUGCGCAAUGGGGGAAACCCUGACGCAGCAACGCCGCGUGAAGGAUGAAGGUUUUCGGAUUGUAAACUUCUUUGACGAGGGACGAAAUAAAUGACGGUACCUCGAAAACAAGCCACGGCUAACUACGUGCCAGCAGCCGCGGUAAUACGUAGGUGGCAAGCGUUGUCCGGAUUUACUGGGUGUAAAGGGCGCGUAGGCGGGAGAACAAGUCAGAUGUGAAAUGCUGAGGCUUAACCUCAGAGCUGCAUUUGAAACUGUACUUCUUGAGUAUCGGAGAGGCAGGCGGAAUUCCUAGUGUAGCGGUGAAAUGCGUAGAUAUUAGGAGGAACACCAGUGGCGAAGGCGGCCUGCUGGACGACAACUGACGCUGAGGCGCGAAAGCGUGGGGAGCAAACAGG
rnacentral:rRNA from 2 species